GGUGACAUGGUCAAGCGGUAAGGCGAGGAACUACAAAUCCUUUAUUCCCCAGUUCAAAUUCGGGUGUCGCCU
rnacentral:tRNA from 1 species